AGUGGUUAAGUGCUCAGCUGCUAACUGAAAGUUGGUGGUUCAAACCCACCAGCCACUG
rfam:Loxodonta africana unplaced genomic scaffold scaffold_0, whole genome shotgun sequence.